AAAAGUACCAUCAAACCUAAUUGCCUCUUAUGCUUCCAAGGUUAUAAUGUAUUUUAGGAAGAUAUUAAAUACAGUAAGGUGCAUCUACUGAGUAAAAAAAAAAGAUCUUCAAAGCCUCCAGAACUUCAGAGAUCCUACUUUUCUAGCUGUCAUCAUUUAUUUUCAAGCAUAAUAUUUGUAUCCAGUGUACCAGGAGGAAGAAUCUCAGGCUAUUUUCUUAAAUCAUGAUUUACAAGAGGAAGCAAUGGAAAUGGGCAUAGGAAAUCAAUUGCUUUCUUGGCACUUGAUGCUUAACAGUACCAGACUGAAGAGCUAGGGUGAUUCAAGUCUUGGCACCAUUCCACCGUUCCUGUUCUUCAGCCAUUCUUUAGCUACUCCCCCUCCCAAUCAAUUACUGCAUUAAUUCAUGGUACAAAACUCUGAAAACAUGAGAGAAAAAAGAAGAAAGAAGCAGCUACUUUUAAAUUUAAGUUUUUCCAGAUGAAGUUUAAUAAAAAAUAAAUCAAAUUUAGAAAUUUAUCAAAUGAGUAUAAAGAUUUCAACUGUACAAUAUAUCCAUGCACAUAAAAGAGCAGGAAUA